UACGAAGGGUGCAAGCGUUACUCGGAAUUACUGGGCGUGAAGCGUGCGUAGGUGGUUCGUUAAGUCUGAUGUGAAAGCCCUGGGCUCAACCUGGGAAUGGCAUUGGAUACUGGCGACCUAGAGUGCGGUAGAGGGUGGCGGAAUUCCCGGUGUAGCAGUGAAAUGCGUAGAUAUCGGGAGGAACAUCCGUGGCGAAGGCGGCCACCUGGACCAGCACUGACACUGAGGCACGAAAGCGUGGGGAGCAAAUAGG
rnacentral:rRNA from 1 species